GAUGAACGCUGGCGGCGUGCCUAAUACAUGCAAGUCGAGCGAACGGACGAGAAGCUUGCUUCUCUGAUGUUAGCGGCGGACGGGUGAGUAACACGUGGAUAACCUACCUAUAAGACUGGGAUAACUUCGGGAAACCGGAGCUAAUACCGGAUAAUAUUUUGAACCGCAUGGUUCAAAAGUGAAAGACGGUCUUGCUGUCACUUAUAGAUGGAUCCGCGCUGCAUUAGCUAGUUGGUAAGGUAACGGCUUACCAAGGCAACGAUGCAUAGCCGACCUGAGAGGGUGUUCGGCCACACUGGAACUGAGACACGGUCCAGACUCCUACGGGAGGCAGCAGUAGGGAAUCUUCCGCAAUGGGCGAAAGCCUGACGGAGCAACGCCGCGUGAGUGAUGAAGGUCUUCGGAGCGUAAAACUCUGUUAUUAGGGAAGAACAUAUGUGUAAGUAACUGUGCACAUCUUGACGGUACCUAAUCAGAAAGCCACGGCUAACUACGUG
rnacentral:rRNA from 1 species